rnacentral:piRNA from 1 species
UAGAAGCUCUGUGGCUCUGGCCUGUC